GCUCCAUGAAGGGAAAGCAGUGUUCGUGCAUCCAGCUGUGACUGUAGCUACAGCAAGGCUGCUGGCUGGACCUUUGCAUUUGUGCAGAAGAAGAGUGUGAGGGAGUGGUUUGGGGCAUUUCUGUUAAUUUUUUGAAAUGUAAAAUUAUUUUUUCUUAAUACAGAAGCAGCCCAUGUUUGUUUUAGAAAAAUCAGAAAACACAAGCCCAAGAAAUAUGAAAAAUACAAGCAAUUCCGCCCACUCAGAGAUCUGUACCAAGAUGCUGGCAGUGUUAUCUUUCCAAAUCCUCUGCAUGCACAUGCACGAAUGGGACCAGGCGGCAGCAGCCCAGCUUAGAGAAACAAAGAAGGAAAGAAACCUCCUGGACUUUGGAUGUACAGCCAAACACCUGGGCUGGAAUCUGAAUGCAGAAAACAGGCAUGGAACGCCAAGAAUGUCGCACCUGUGCACAAGGACUGCCUCAGAGAUGGAGCUGGAUGCAAUCCUGCCUGCUUUCCACAGAAGCUGAAGAUUGGAGAUUUGGAUUAGAACGUAAGUCCCAAGGAGUAAAUGUCCUCUAAAUUCCUUUUUAAUGUUCCUUCUUUAAAGAUGGACUUAAUGCCAGUUAAAAUCAAAUUCAGGCCGGGCGCGGUGGCUCAAGCCUGUAAUCCUAGCACUCGGGCGGAUUGCUCGAGGUCAGGAGUUCGAAACCAGCCUGAGCAAGAGCAAGACCCCGUCUCUACUAUAAAUAGAAAGAAAUUAAUUGGCCAACUAAUAUAUAUAUAAAAUUGGCCGGGCAUGGUGGUGCAUGCCUGUAGUCCCAGCUACUCGGGAGGCUGAGGCAGAAGGAUUGCUUGAGCCCAGGAGUUUGAGGUUGCUGUGAGCUAGGCUGACGCCACGGCACUCACUCUAGCCUGGGCAACAGAGUGAGACUCUGUCUCAAAAAAAAAAAAAAAAAAAAAAAAUCAAAUUCAAAGCUCAAACCCAAUCAUCUUAAAUUUCAAAAGUGUUUGUGUUUGUGAUGCAUUUUUAUGGGUUC
rnacentral:lncRNA from 1 species